rnacentral:misc_RNA from 1 species
UCCGAGUUGUCCCCGGCAGUCCCUCUAGAGUCCCCGGCAUUACCCGCUGGCAACUAAAGGCAAGGGUUGCGCUCGUUGCGGCACUUAAGCCAACACCUCACGACACGAGCUGACGACAGCCAUGCACCACCUGUGCAAGUGCCCCGAAGGGAGACCGUGUUUCCACGGCUGUCACCUGCAUGUCAAACCCAGGUAAGGUUCUUCGCGUUGCGUCGAAUUAAACCACAUGCUCCGCUGCUUGUGCGGGCCCCCGUCAAUUCCUUUGAGUUUUAGCCUUGCGGCCGUACUCCCCAGGCGGAUAACUUAAUGCGUUAGCUGCGCCACCAAAACCCUAAGGGCCCUGACAGCUAGUUAUCAUCGUUUACGGCGUGGACUAC